UGAUGUUAGCGGCGGACGGGUGAGUAACACGUGGGUAACCUGCCUGUAAGACUGGGAUAACUCCGGGAAACCGGGGCUAAUACCGGAUGGUUGUUUGAACCGCAUGGUUCAGACAUAAAAGGUGGCUUCGGCUACCACUUACAGAUGGACCCGCGGCGCAUUAGCUAGUUGGUGAGGUAACGGCUCACCAAGGCGACGAUGCGUAGCCGACCUGAGAGGGUGAUCGGCCACACUGGGACUGAGACACGGCCCAGACUCCUACGGGAGGCAGCAGUAGGGAAUCUUCCGCAAUGGACGAAAGUCUGACGGAGCAACGCCGCGUGAGUGAUGAAGGUUUUCGGAUCGUAAAGCUCUGUUGUUAGGGAAGAACAAGUGCCGUUCAAAUAGGGCGGCACCUUGACGGUACCUAACCAGAAAGCCACGGCUAACUACGUGCCAGCAGCCGCGGUAAUACGUAGGUGGCAAGCGUUGUCCGGAAUUAUUGGGCGUAAAGGGCUCGCAGGCGGUUUCUUAAGUCUGAUGUGAAAGCCCCCGGCUCAACCGGGGAGGGUCAUUGGAAACUGGGGAACUUGAGUGCAGAAGAGGAGAGUGGAAUUCCACGUGUAGCGGUGAAAUGCGUAGAGAUGUGGAGGAACACCAGUGGCGAAGGCGACUCUCUGGUCUGUAACUGACGCUGAGGAGCGAAAGCGUGGGGAGCGAACAGGAUUAGAUACCCUGGUAGUCCACGCCGUAAACGAUGAGUGCUAAGUGUUAGGGGGUUUCCGCCCCUUAGUGCUGCAGCUAACGCAUUAAGCACUCCGCCUGGGGAGUACGGUCGCAAGACUG
rnacentral:rRNA from 2 species